rnacentral:rRNA from 1 species
CAUGCAUGUCUCAGUACAAGCCAAAUUAAGGUGAAACCGCGAAAGGCUCAUUAAAUCAGUUAUGGUUCCUUAGAUCGUACCACAUUACUUGGAUAACUGUGGUAAUUCUAGAGCUAAUACAUGCAAACAGAACUCCGACCGGAGACGGAAGGAGCGCUUUUAUUAGAUCAAAACCAAUCGGCGUCGGUUUCGGCCGGUCGUCGUACAUCUUGGUGAAUCUGAAUAACUUUGCUGAUCGCACGGUCUCGCACCGGCGACGCAUCUUUCAAAUGUCUGCCUUAUCAACUGUCGAUGGUAGGUUCUGCGCCUACCAUGGUUGUAACGGGUAACGGGGAAUCAGGGUUCGAUUCCGGAGAGGGAGCCUGAGAAACGGCUACCACAUCCAAGGAAGGCAGCAGGCGCGCAAAUUACCCACUCCCGGCACGGGGAGGUAGUGACGAAAAAUAACGAUACGGGACUCAUCCGAGGCCCCGUAAUCGGAAUGAGUACACUUUAAAUCCUUUAACGAGGAUCAAUUAGAGGGCAAGUCUGGUGCCAGCAGCCGCGGUAAUUCCAGCUCUAAUAGCGUAUAUUAAAGUUGUUGCGGUUAAAAAGCUCGUAGUUGAAUCUGUGUACCGCGCCGCCGGUUCAUCGCUCGCGGUGUCAACUGGCGUGUCCGCGGUACGUCCUGCCGGUGGGCUUAGCCCGUAAAAAGGCGGCCCAACCUAGCAAUCCCGCCGCGGUGCUCUUCGUUGAGUGUCGAGGUGGGCCGGCACGUUUACUUUGAACAAAUUAGAGUGCUUAAAGCAGGCUAAAACUUCGCCUGAAUAAUGUGUGCAUGGAAUAAUAGAAUAGGACCUCGGUUCUAUUUUGUUGGUUUUCGGAACUCCGAGGUAAUGAUUAAUAGGGAUUGAUGGGGGCAUUCGUAUUGCGACGUUAGAGGUGAAAUUCUUGGAUCGUCGCAAGACGGACAUAAGCGAAAGCAUUUGCCAAAAAUGUUUUCAUUAAUCAAGAACGAAAGUCAGAGGUUCGAAGGCGAUCAGAUACCGCCCUAGUUCUGACCAUAAACGAUGCCAGCUAGCGAUCCGCCGACGUUCCUCCGAUGACUCGGCGGGCAGCUUCCGGGAAACCAAAGCUUUUGGGUUCCGGGGGAAGUAUGGUUGCAAAGCUGAAACUUAAAGGAAUUGACGGAAGGGCACCACCAGGAGUGGAGCCUGCGGCUUAAUUUGACUCAACACGGGAAACCUCACCAGGCCCGGACACCGGAAGGAUUGACAGAUUGAGAGCUCUUUCUUGAUUCGGUGGGUGGUGGUGCAUGGCCGUUCUUAGUUGGUGGAGCGAUUUGUCUGGUUAAUUCCGAUAACGAACGAGACUCUAGCCUGCUAACUAGGCGUAUUUCCGGCAUCUCGAAGGGUAGCCUGCCGUUGCGGCCGCAAGGUUGUUUCGGUUGCGCUUACUUUUUACUGCCGGCGUACAAGCAGUUCUUCUUAGAGGGACAGGCGGCUUCUAGCCGCACGAGAUUGAGCAAUAACAGGUCUGUGAUGCCCUUAGAUGUUCUGGGCCGCACGCGCGCUACACUGAAGGAAUCAGCGUGUCUUCCUAGCCCGAGAGGGCCGGGUAACCCGCUGAACCUCCUUCGUGCUAGGGAUUGGGGCUUGCAAUUGUUCCCCAUGAACGAGGAAUUCCCAGUAAGCGCGAGUCAUAAGCUCGCGUUGAUUACGUCCCUGCCCUUUGUACACACCGCCCGUCGCUACUACCGAUUGAAUGAUUUAGUGAGGUCUUCGGACCGGUACGCCGCGGCGUUUCGACGUCGCAGAUGUUGCUGGAAAGAUGACCGAACUUGAUCAUUUAGAGGAAGUAAAAGUCGUAACAAGGUUUCCGU